AGCAGGAGUAAAAAAUCCCCAAUUCGCGCCCCCCACCUCGGCGCCUCCUCCGUGUCGCCACCGUCUCCGCCGGCCGCCACCAUCUCUUUCCGCUCCUUUUCUGUUUUACUUUAUGGUCGGAUUGGAUGGAUUGUGAGGGUUUGCAUCUCAUUGAAAACCCUGGAUUCUGUAGCGAUCAUCUCCUGAUAGUAUAUACUGCAGCCGACACCUUCUACGUCACCGAUGAGCGGUCGAAGAAUCCCCCGUCGAGCAAAGAUGGGAUCGAUGAGGAGACGGAGACCAUGCCGCGGGUGGCACCUCAUCCGAGAGAGCGGCGUUCUUCUUAGACGGUGUCCUUUUCCCCGUACUUGUGAAUAUUUUCUUGCUUGUUGAUCAAUUAGAAGUGAUUUCAAAGAAUUAUCUGUGGCACGGGCAGGUCCUUCUCCAUUGGUUCUACUGCAAGAAGUCCUUUGCCCGCUUUAGCGUGAAGGUUUGCAUCUGGACCUUAAGCUUCACCUUAAAAUUUACUCUUUUUUUUUUUUUGGGUCUCUUGAGCAAUCGUUUUAUGUCUAUGUUUAUUUCAUUGAUAAACUGGAUUUUUGUUAAUUCGGUUGCUGCAAGCUGUGUGUGGUUAGCUUCGAAGUUGGAGGAAUGCCAAAAAAAAAGCAAAGCAUCUAAUGAUUGUCUUCCACAGAAUGGAAUGAAUGUAGAUGGGGAAAACCUGCCAAUAGAGCUAUUGGAUGUCUUUUCCAAGAUGUGUGUGGUUAGCUUCGAAGUUGGAGGAAUGCCCAAAAAAAGCAAAGCACCUAAUCAUUGUCUUCCACAGAAUGGAAUGAAUGUAGAAGGGGAAAACCUGCCAAUAGAGCUAUUGGAUGUCUUUUCCAAGAUGCAUUUGAUUGGCACAGAAAUAUACAGAGCUGAUGAAUGAUUUGGUUGGGACUGAGCAACAUUUGCUGAAAGAAAUGGACUUUAUUUGCCAUGUUGAACAUCCUCAUAAGUUUAUAUCCAACUAGCUUGCAACACUUGAAGUACCUCCUCAGCUGAGGCAGGAAGCCUGGAAUCUAGCAAAUGAGAGGUGCUUUCUUGUUUUAUUUUUGAUUUAUAAGAGCAUUGCUGUUCCUGAUGGUUAAUUGUCAUGGUAAUUUUAUCCUUAUACUAUUUCUUCAUAUAUUUUUCAUGUUCUAGAGAUUCUUUGAAUGAUUCAGAGUAUUUGUUAAUACUUGGCUUUUCAUUAUUCCAGCUUAUUAUUUCUUCCUUGUUGUUAUAUAUUUCUUGCCCAUAAACUGAUUUAUUAUAGAGCAUAAAGCUGCUUAUACUGAUCCCCCAUAGGACCUACAUUCAUUGGUGGGAGAACUGGUGCAGUGGAUUUGCCCUUUUUAUUCACAUAUAUUACCCAAAUACGGUGAGCAGAACUUAAAGAGUUGCAGUGUCGACCAUGAGUAUGAAACACAAUCUAGUUUUUACUUAUGUACGUCCGUUUCAUUACCCAGCAAUCAUGUAAGAGUUCAUUCAAUACCUAGCAGAUUCACUUGAACUAUAUCCUGCAUCCAUUUGAUCAUGAAAGUCCUCUGUUCUUAUAGGAUACCCGCGGCAUCAUUCAUCACGAGGCAUGUUGGCAUUCUUUUUAGCCUUAUCAUUUUUAUUUUUAUGGGAACCGAAGAGUUUUUUCAUUGAGACUUUAUGUAAACCUUUUCUGAAAAUUGCAGUGAAUAUCAUAGCUCACACAUCUUGUGGACGAGAUCGACAUGAGAAAGAUCGGCAUAGACAUCAUCCAUAUGAUUGAAUGAGCAUUGAUCAUUGUGGAACAAUUGAAACUUGUGACUUUUGCGCACUCGCUUGUUGUCAGGUGAUUUUCUGUUUCAGUUGCUGCUUAUGUUGAAUGAGAAGGUUGUAGCCGUAAUUCAAAGCGUGAUAGUGAAACUCCGACUCUUAUUACCAUCCGUCGGGCAUCUUCUUGUGUGACCAUCACAUUCUAAUCGCUGGACUAAGUACUGUCUAGCUACCAAGCGAUUACUGUGCCGAUGUGUAGUUCUUACAGCUGCUAAAAUCACUAUCUUUCUAGCUUUUUACAAACUUGAUUCCCUGUACUAUUCAAGAGUACCCAUCGCUUUUUUUUUUUGUUUCGGUUUUCUUGUGUGAUAUGUUUGCUGUUUUCUUGAGAGCUUUGUACUGUAGGCUGCCAGUGGUGCAUUGCAUCAUAUCAUUAUGUUCGAUAUGAUGCAACCAGAUAUGGUUUAGGAUCUGAUGAUGUUUAUG